rnacentral:rRNA from 1 species
CCCUUAGAUGUCCUGGGCCGCACGCGCGCUACACUGACGGAGCCAGCGAGCUUACCCCUUUGCCGAAAGGCAUGGGAAAUCUUUUGAAUCUCCGUCGUGCUGGGGAUAGAUCAUUGCAAUUAUUGAUCUUGGACGAGGAAUUCCUAGUAAGCGCAAGUCAUCAACUUGCGUUGAUUACGUCCCUGCCCUUUGUACACACCGCCCGUCGCUCCUACCGAUUGAAUGUUCCGGUGAACACUUUGGAAUAGUGCCUUUGUAUGGGGAAACUUGUACUUGGAUACUGUAAAGUUGUGUAAACCUUAACAUUUAGAGGAAGGAGAAGUCGUAACA